AUUGAACGCUGGCGGCAUGCUUUACACAUGCAAGUCGAACGGUAACAGGCCGCAAGGUGCUGACGAGUGGCGAACGGGUGAGUAAUGCAUCGGAACGUGCCCAGUCGUGGGGGAUAACGCAGCGAAAGCUGUGCUAAUACCGCAUACGAUAUAUGGAUGAAAGCGGGGGACCGUAAGGCCUCGCGCGAUUGGAGCGGCCGUUGUCAGAUUAGGUAGUUGGUGGGGUAAAGGCUGACCAAGCCAACGAUCUGUAGCUGGUCGGAGAGGACGGCCAGCCACACUGGGACUGGGACACGGCCCAGACUCCUACGGGAGGCAGCAGUGGGGAAUUUUGGACAAUGGGCGCAAGCCUGAUCCAGCAAUGCCGCGUGCAGGAAGAAGGCCUUCGGGUUGUAAACUGCUUUUGUACGGAACGAAAAGGUUUGGGUUAAUACCCUGGGCCGAUGACGGUACCGUAAGAAUAAGCACCGGCUAACUACGUGCCAGCAGCCGCCGUAA
rnacentral:rRNA from 1 species